UCUGUCAGCACUGCAGGGGUGAAAGGGUAAAUGAGUUCAUUACCCUUACAGUCUCUCUUCUUUUAGGAAAUGUACAUCCUAUUCCAGAUAGCCUACUGACAGUGAAUAUAUAUCGACUCUGCACAGCAAUACGAGGGAUUUCCAACAUAGUUGGACCAUGGACUGAAACAGCGCCCACAGCAAAUUGAAAUUCCCUUGAAGAAUCUCCCUUUCUGAGUAAUGACUGUAAAGGCAGCUGAAGUCUUCAGUCCUUUGGCACGCAACAACCAAACACCUGUCACACACCUUCAAACCAGUUUUCUCAUAACCGCUGUGGUUUGUGGUCCUUCGCCUGCCUUACUCCAUUGAAGUUGUUGUGAACAAACAAGCCCUUGUAGGAGGUGCAACAUGGGAUAUCUGUGUGUGAGGAUGCAAGAGGGAAAUGAACUGAAAAGGCCUCCUGCUCCUGAGAGGAGAUGAAUACACUCAAUCAAACCAGUGCUCUCUGUCCUGGCCCUGUAUCAACCCGCUGAAGAAUGGCAGCAAAUCAGUAGUUUGAUUAUAUAAAGUAAAACCACAGGAGGGGCAUGCAUGCCUAUCGGAUUUCCUGUUAUCUAUUGCCUGAUCUCCUGGACGACGUUACUAGCCUUUUCCCUGCCUGUACUUUUGCC